GUCUCAGCUCGUCCUCUGUUGCUCUCUCUCAAUCUGUCUACCCAAAUACAAAUCAACAGAGUGGAACAUCCUUCAAUUCAAUUUCCUCUUCUUUUCUUGAUUUCUUCUUGUAGAUCUCUGUGUUUUCAUUAUCAUCUCGUUUUCUGUUUUCUCUUCUUUUUCUUCUAUGUGAUUUGAGAGGAAAAAUAAAGGUUUCGAGAUCGAGAGCGAAAGGGAUUGAUCGAAUAAUAGUUGUUGGUAGUGAUGCUGAUAGGAGUGGUGGAUUCAGAUUCAGCAGAAAAGUUCUGAAGAUAUAAUUGAUUACGAUGUGGAUCUAUCUUACCUUCUUCACUCACAUCUGAAUGAUUUGUUACCAAAAUUUGAUGAAGGCGCUUGUCAAGCUCAGACAUACAUGUUUAAGUACGACAAUGUCCACGGUCAAUGGAAGCACCAUGAACUCAAGGUUAAGGACACUAAGACUCUCCUCUUCGGUGAGAAGGAAGUUGCAGUCUUUAGUUGCACAAACCCUGAGGAGAUCCCAUGGGAUGAUACUGGAGCUGAAUACAUUGUUGAGUCAACUGGAAUGUUCACUAAGAAGGACAAAGCUGCUGCUCAUUUGAAGGGUGGAGCCAAGAAGGUUAUCAUUUCUUCUCCCAGGUGCAGUAGAAAUGCGCUGGGUUGAUACUUACUUUCCAUUUAAGAAGCCAUCAUUUGAACUCGAGAUAUUUUUUCAGGAGAAAUGGUUGGAGGUUUUGGGUUGCAGGGUGACUGAGCAGAAGAUUUUAAAAGAAGUGGUAACGUGGAUAAGGUUGCAUGGGCACUGGGGCUCGAACGACUUGCAAUGGUUCUUUUUGAGAUACCUGACAUAAGGCUGUUCUGGCCUUCUGAUGAGCGGUUCACGUCACAGGUAUUACGUACUAAAUUCUAAGAUAUUAGCAACUAUAUUUUUCCACUCGGUCUCACAUAUGUUGGCCAUACGUUCAGUCCCGCCUAAGGCUGGAAAGAAAAAUAGUUUAAGUUUAUCUUGAGCUAGAAUCUUGAAGUACGAUUGAACUCUAAUGGAGGCUCAUUUCUUGGUUCAUGAUUUACUGAGACGGUUUGACAGUCGUGUCAUGUUGGUGUUACAAGCUUUAUAUUGAUUCACACGUGAACACAGCAAAGUUCUUGUACAGAUUAGAAGCGUUUCGGAUAGCAGCAAAGGCUAUCGAUUUACACCGCCAGAUAAACCAUAUUAUGCAAAGUGUUACGGGUAAAUAUUGGUGUAGCAAGGCCUUCUUUGUUUUCCUUUUGACUAUAUUAUCUUUGAGAUUGAUCCAAUUUUAAACAGAGUUGCCUUGAGCUUGUGUUCUCUGUGACUGAGAAUGAAUGUAAAAGAGUGUUUAGGUACUUAUUAGAAUUUGAUACUCAAUAUGAAAUUUUUUUGGUACUUAGAAGAAUCUGUGUUCUUUCUUCAUAUGAAUUGAUUUAAUGUUGAUAUGAAUUGAUUGAA